rnacentral:rRNA from 1 species
CAGUAGCCACGGUAAUACGUAGGUGGCGAGCGUUGUCCGGAAUUAUUGGGCGUAAAGGGAGCGCAGGCGGACAUAUAAGUCCAUCUUAAAAGUGCGGGGCUCAACCCCGUGAGGGGAUGGAAACUGUAUGCCUUGAGUGUAGGAGAGGAAAGCGGAAUUCCCAGUGUAGCGGUGAAAUGCGUAGAUAUUGGGAGGAACACCAGUGGCGAAGGCGGCUUUCUGGACUGCAACUGACGCUGAGGCUCGAAAGCCAGGGGAGCGGACGGGAUUAGAUACCCGAGUAGUCCCUGUCUCUUAUACA